AUUGAACGCUGGCGGCAGGCCUAACACAUGCAAGUCGAACGAGUGGCGGACGGGUGAGUAAUGUCUGGGAAACUGCCUGAUGGAGGGGGAUAACUACUGGAAACGGUAGCUAAUACCGCAUACCAUCGGAUGUGCCCAGAUGGGAUUAGCUAGUAGGUGGGGUAAAGGCUCACCUAGGCGACGAUCCCUAGCUGGUCUGAGAGGAUGACCAGCCACACUGGAACUGAGAAACGGUCCAGACUCCUACGGGAGGCAGCAGUGGGGAAUAUUGGACAAUGGGCGAAAGCCUGAUGCAGCCACGCCGCGUGUGUGAAGAAGGCCUUCGGGUUGUAAAGUACUGUCAGCAGGGAGGCGUUACCCACAGAAGAAGCAACGGCUAACUCCGUGCCAGCAGCCGCGGUAAUUC
rnacentral:rRNA from 1 species